CCUGUAUAAUGAAAUUCGCUUAACUAACAUCAAUUGGACUGCUCGUUUUACUUUCAGAUAUAAUCACACUGAUGAUCUGAACAAUCCGAGAGAGAGGACCAGAUGUUCCAUGAAGUGGAUCAGACAACCUUGCCCUCUGAAGUAGACUGUGCCAAACUUCCAAGUACACCCUGCAUAAUUGUGUGUGGAAGUUCCCCUUUGACUGCAGAGAACUUUGUUUUUUGUCGACCAAGUCAUAGUUAACAGCCACAUCACCAUCUUCUGCGA